UCGAGCGAACCCGCAAGGGUUAGCGGCAAAAGGGUGAGUAACACGUAAGUAAUUUCCUUAAAGUCGGGGAUAGCACCGUGAAAAUGGUGGUAAUACCCGAUGUUAUCGGUGAUCCGCAUGGAUUACCGAUCAAAGACGGGGAUCCUUCGGGACCUGUCGCUUUUUGAUGAGCUUGCGUACCAUCAGCUAGUUGGUAGGGUAACGGCCUACCAAGGCUAAGACGGUUAGCUGGUCUGAGAGGACGACCAGCCACAUUGGGACUGAGACACUGCCCAGACUCCUACGGGAGGCCGCAGUCGAGAAUAUUUAGCAAUGGGCGAAAGCCUGACUAUGCGACGCCGCGUGCAGGAUGAAGGUCUUCGGAUUGUAAACUGCUUUUGUUAGGGGAGAAACCUGUAUGGUUAAUAGCCAUACAGCUGACGGUACCUGACGAAUAAGCCACGGCAAACCCUGUGCCAGCAGCCGCGGUAAUACAGGGGUGGCAAGCGUUACUCGGAAUUAUUGGGUGUAAAGGGCAGGUAGGUGGCUCUAUAAGUGAGGGGUGAAAUCCUGCGGUUCAAUCGCAGAACAGCCUUUCAAACUGCAGAGCUUGAGUGUGACAGAGGAAGAUGGAAUUCCUGGUGUAAGGGUGAAAUNUGUAGAUAUCAGGAAGAACACCAACGGCGAAGGCAAUCUUCUGGGUCACUACUGACACUGAGCUGCGAAAGCUAGGGGAGCAAACAGAAUUAGAUACUCUGGUAGUCCUAGCCGUAAACGAUGGAUACUAGGUGUUGGUCCUUUCGGGGAUCAGCGCCGAAGCUAACGCAUUAAGUAUUCCACCUGGGGACUACGGUCGCAAGGCUAAAACUCAAAGAAAUUGACGGGGGCUCACACAAGCGGUGG
rnacentral:rRNA from 1 species